rnacentral:misc_RNA from 1 species
GAUGAAGAACGCAGCGAAAUGCGAUACGUAAUGUGAAUUGCAGAUUUCAGUGAAUCAUCGAAUCUUUGAACGCACAUUGCGCCCGCCAGUAUUCUGGCGGGCAUGCCUGUUCGAGCGUCAUUUCAACCAUCAAGCCUUCGCUUGUGUUGGGGCCCCGCGGCUGCCGCGGUCCCAUAAAUCCAGUGGCGGGCUCGUCGUCGUACCGAGCGCAGUAGACAUCCUCGCUCCGGGAACCCGACGGGUGCCGGCCAUGAAACCCCCCACAUCAAGGUUGACCUCGGAUCAGGUAGGAAUACCCGCUGAACUUAAGCAUAUCAAAGCGGAGGA